rnacentral:rRNA from 1 species
UACGUAGGGUCCGAGCGUUGUCCGGAAUUAUUGGGCGUAAAGGGCUCGUAGGCGGUUUGUCGCGUCGGGAGUGAAAACCAGGUGCUUAACACCUGGCUUGCUUUCGAUACGGGCAGACUAGAGGUAUUCAGGGGAGAACGGAAUUCCUGGUGUAGCGGUGAAAUGCGCAGAUAUCAGGAGGAACACCGGUGGCGAAGGCGGUUCUCUGGGAAUGACCUGACGCUGAGGAGCGAAAGUGUGGGGAGCGAACAGG